UAGCCUAGUGGCUAAGGCUAUAGAUCGCCAAUCUGGAGACGGCGGGUUCGAUUCCCGU
rnacentral:tRNA from 1 species